CCGCAAGGCUAAAACCCAAAGGAAUUGACGGGGGCUUACACAAGCGGUGGAGCAUGUGGUUUAAUUCGAAACAACGCGCAAAACCUUACCAAUCUUUGAAAUAUGCAUCGAAAAACAUGUUACUUUUGUUUUUCUUUUUGCAUACAGGUGCUGCAUGGCUGUCGUCAGUUCGUGGUGUGAGCUGUUGGGUUAAGUCCUAGAACGAACGCAACCCUCAUUUUAAGUUGUUUUUUUGAAUCUCUUAAAAAACUGCCAGUGAUAUACGGGAGGAAGGUGAGGAUGACGUCAAGUCCGCAUGGCCCUUAUAGGUUGGGCUACACACGUGCUACAAUGGUGAUGACAAAAAGAGGCAAUAUGGCGACAUGGAGCAAAUCUUGAAAAAUCAUCUCAGUCCGGAUUGUUCUCUGCAACUCGAGAACAUGAAGUUGGAAUCGCUAGUAAUCGUAGAUCAGCAUGCUACGGUGAAUUUGUAUCUAAGCCUUGUACACACCGCCCGUCACACUACGAAAGCGAGUUUGCCUCAAAGGAGGUUUUCAAAAAAACCUAAAAUACAAAGAAAAAAAACGAUGCCUUGCUUUUCCAUUUUUGUAUAGUUUUUUUGCCAUCUCUCACAGUCAAUCAUGCAAUUGUAGUG
rnacentral:rRNA from 1 species